rnacentral:rRNA from 1 species
UGAGGAAUAUUGGGCAAUGCCCGCAAGGGUGACCCAGCAACGCCGCGUGGAGGAUGAAUGUCGUAAGAUUGUAAACUCCUGUUAGAGGGGAAGAAUAGUACCGGUUGGACCGGUAUAUGACUGUACCCUCAGAGAAAGCCCCGGCUAACUACGUGCCAGCAGCCGCGGUAAUACGUAGGGGGCAAGCGUUGUCCGGAUUUACUGGGUGUAAAGGGCGCGCAGGCGGGAUAAAAAGUCAGUGGUGAAAUCCUACAGCUUAACUGUAGAACUGCCUUUGAUACUUUUAUUCUUGAGUUCGGGAGAGAGAGACGGAAUUCCAGGUGUAGUGGUGAAAUACGUAGAUAUCUGGAAGAACACCAGUUGCGAAGGCGGUCUCUUGAUCCGACACUGACGCUGAGGCGCGAAAGCGUGGGGAGCAAACA